UUGAUGUGUAGGAUAGGUGGGAGGCUUUGAAGUGUGGACGCCAGUCUGCAUGGAGCCGACCUUGAAAUACCACCCUUUAAUGUUUGAUGUUCUAACGUUGACCCGUGAUCCGGGUUGCGGACAGUGUCUGGUGGGUAGUUUGACUGGGGCGGUCUCCUCCUAAAGAGUAACGGAGGAGCACGAAGGUUGGCUAAUCCUGGUCGGACAUCAGGAGGUUAGUGCAAUGGCAUAAGCCAGCUUGACUGCGAGCGUGACGGCGCGAGCAGGUGCGAAAGCAGGUCAUAGUGAUCCGGUGGUUCUGAAUGGAAGGGCCAUCGCUCAACGGAUAAAAGGUACUCCGGGGAUAACAGGCUGAUACCGCCCAAGAGUUCAUAUCGACGGCGGUGUUUGGCACCUCGAUGUCGGCUCAUCACAUCCUGGGGCUGAAGUAGGUCCCAAGGGUAUGGCUGUUCGCCAUUUAAAGUGGUACGCGAGCUGGGUUUAGAACGUCGUGAGACAGUUCGGUCCCUAUCUGCCGUGGGCGCUGGAGAACUGAGGGGGGCUGCUCCUAGUACGAGAGGACCGGAGUGGACGCAUCACUGGUGUUCGGGUUGUCAUGCCAAUGGCACUGCCCGGUAGCUAAAUGCGGAAGAGAUAAGUGCUGAAAGCAUCUAAGCACGAAACUUGCCCCG
rnacentral:rRNA from 1 species